AAAGAAACAUUUGGACCGUCGGUCUACCGAGCAAUAUCACUCGCUCGGUGGAAAAUCUUCCCUUUAUCGUUAAAC
rnacentral:pre_miRNA from 1 species